rnacentral:lncRNA from 1 species
UACCAGGACUUCAUAGGAACAGUUAAAACACAAAGGACUUUAUCUGAGGAAAGGUAACAUCCUACAGAAAGAGCUAUUUUGCAGAGAAGGAUGGGACCUGGUGCCAGGGAAGACGCUGCUGCCACCCAAAAGUUGACCCUCCAUCAUCUCUCACCUGGACUGGUGCAGUCUCCUCCAAGACCCCAGGCUCCAGAAGCAGAUGAGGGAACGAGCAGAACAGAAGAACAGCAGAAUGGCAUGGCAGAGAGAAGAGAGGGACCAUCUGAACGCCAAGAGAAAUUCAGCUGGGGGAGGUCAGAGAGGACAUAGACCACAGGACAGCCAAGCUCCAGGGGAAGAUCAUCUUCCCACUCCAUCCCCUUUCCAGCUCCCCAUCCAUCCCGCUGAGAGCCACCUCCACCACUCAAUAAAACCCUGCAUUCACCAUC